UGGGGAAUUUUGGACAAUGGGCGAAAGCCUGAUCCAGCAAUGCCGCGUGUGUGAAGAAGGCCUUCGGGUUGUAAAGCACUUUUGUCCGGAAAGAAAUCCUUGGCUCUAAUACAGUCGGGGAUGACGGUACCGGAAGAAUAAGCACCGGCUAACUACGUGCCAGCAGCCGCGGUAAUACGUAGGGUGCAAGCGUUAAUCGGAAUUACUGGGCGUAAAGCGUGCGCAGGCGGUUUGCUAAGACCGAUGUGAAAUCCCCGGGCUCAACCUGGGAACUGCAUUGGUGACUGGCAGGCUAGAGUAUGGCAGAGGGGGGUAGAAUUCCACGUGUAGCAGUGAAAUGCGUAGAGAUGUGGAGGAAUACCGGUGGCGAAGGCAGCCCCCUGGGCCAAUACUGACGCUCAUGCACGAAAGCGUGGGGAGCAAACAGGAUUAGAUACCCUGGUAGUCCACGCCCUAAACGAUGUCAACUAGUUGUUGGGGAUUCAUUUCCUUAGUAACGUAGCUAACGCGUGAAGUUGACCGCCUGGGGAGUACGGUCGCAAGAUUAAAACUC
rnacentral:rRNA from 1 species